UACGUAGGGGGCAAGCGUUGUCCGGAAUCAUUGGGCGUAAAGAGCGUGUAGGCGGCUCGGUAAGUCCGCUGUGAAAGUCCAGGGCUCAACCCUGGAAAGCCGGUGGAUACUGUCGGGCUAGAGUCCGGAAGAGGCGAGUGGAAUUCCUGGUGAGCGGUGAAAUGCGCAGAUAUCAGGAGGAACACCAAUGGCGAAGGCAGCUCGCUGGGACGGUACUGACGCUGAGACGCGAAAGCGUGGGGAGCAAACAGG
rnacentral:rRNA from 1 species